rnacentral:rRNA from 1 species
GACGAACGCUGGCGGCGUGCCUAAUACAUGCAAGUCGAACGAGCAGAACCAGCAGAUUUACUUCGGUAAUGACGCUGGGGACGCGAGCGGCGGAUGGGUGAGUAACACGUGGGGAACCUGCCCCAUAGUCUGGGGGUACCACUUGGAAACGGGUGCUAAUACCGGAUAAGAAAGCAGAUCGCAUGAUCAGCUUAUAAAAGGCGGCGUAAGCUGUCGCUAUGGGAUGGCCCCGCGGUGCAUUAGCUAGUUGGUAAGGUAACGGCUUACCAAGGCGAUGAUGCAUAGCCGAGUUGAGAGACUGAUCGGCCACAUCGGGACUGAGACACGGCCCAAACUCCUACGGGAGGCAGCAGUAGGGAAUCUUCCACAAUGGGCGCAAGUCUGAUGGAGCAACGCCGCGUGAGUGAAGAGGUUUUCGGAUCGUAAAGCUCUGUUG